GACGAACCGUGCGAACGUUGUUCGGAAUCACUGGGCUUAAAGGGCGCGUAGGCGGAUGACCAAGUCAGGGGUGAAAGCCCGCAGCUUAACUGCGGAAGUGCCUUUGAUACUGGUUGUCUCGAGGGAGAUAGGGGGCAUGUGGAACUUCCGGUGGAGCGGUGAAAUGCGUAGAUAUCGGAAGGAACGCCGGUGGCGAAAGCGACGUGCUGGAUCUCUUCUGACGCUGAGGCGCGAAAGCUAGGGGAGCAAACGGG
rnacentral:rRNA from 1 species